GACAGAAAAUGUAUUCAUAAAUUAAUGUUGAUAAUGUUAUGGUAUUUCAGGUUAAAUUUUUUUAGAAGAAUGAGAAAUUUGAAUUUGGAGUAGAUACGAUAGAUUUCUUUCAUCAAAUAAAAGAUUUGCGAACAGUUAAAAAGGAAUAACUUCAUGAAUCAGUCAAGUUUCAUUGUAGAUAGGGGCUAAUGGCGAGGGUGGCGGUCAAGGAACUACUCACAGCUCCGCAGGCUGCGGGUUGCGAAUGCAAGGGGCUCAUUAAAGACUUAUGUACUUAAACGUUAUAUUGU